rnacentral:rRNA from 1 species
AUUCGAUUCUGGCUCAGAUUGAACGCGCUGGCGGGAUGCUUUACACAUGCAAGUCGGGCAGCAGCACGGACUUCGAGUCUGGUGGCGAAGUGGCGAACCUGCGUUGAUGUAUCGGAACGUGCCUAGUAGCGGGGAUAACUACGCGAAAGCGUAGCUAAUACCGCAUACGCCCUUCGGGGAAAGCGGGGGACCUUCGGGCCUCGCACUAUUAGAGCGGCCGAUAUCCAGUUUAGCUAGUUGGUGGUGCAGUCGUGGCUCCUGCAGGCGACGAUCGUAGCGCUGGUUUGAGAGGACGACCAGCCACACUGGACUGAACACAGCCCAGACUCCUACAGGAGGCAGCAGUAGAGGAGUGCUGGACAAUGAAGAAGCCUGAUCCAGCCAUCCCGCGUGUGCGAUGAAGGCCUUCGGGUUGUAAGCACUUUUGGCAGGAAAGAAACGGCACGGGAUAAUACCCCGUGCAACUGACGAUACCUGCAGAAUACGCCCGCAAUAACUACGUGCCAGCAGCCGCGGUAAUACGUAAAGGUACAAGCGUUAAUCGGAAUUACUGGGCGUAAAGCGUGCGCAGGCGGUUCGGAAGAAGAUGUGAAAUCCAGACUUAACUUUGGAACUGCAUUUUUAACUACGAGCUGAGGUGUGUCAGGGAGGUGGAAUUCCGCGUGUAGCAGUGAAAUGCGUAGAUAUGCGGAGGAACACCGAUGGCGAAGGCAGCCUCCUGGGAUAACACUGACGCUCAUGCACGAAAGCAGCUGAGGGGAGCAAACAGGAUUAGAUACCCUGGUAGUCCACGCCCUAAACGAUGUCAACUAGCUGUUGGGGCCUUCGGGCCUUGGUAGCGCAGCUAACGCGUGAAGUUGACCGCCUGGGAGUACGGUCGCAAGAUUAAAAACUCAAAGGAAUUGACGGGGACCCACCCUGUGGUGGAUGUGUGUGGAUUAAUUCGAUGCAACGCGAAAAACCUUACCUACCCUUGACAUGUCUGGAAUCCCGAAGGGGACGAUUACUCUCCCGAGAGAACCGGAACACAGGUGCUGCAUGGCUGUCGUCCGAGCUCGUGUCGUGAGAUGUUGGGUUAAGUCCCGCAACGAGCGCAACCCUUGUCAUUAGUUGCUACGAAAGACCACUCUAAUGAGACUACCGUGGCUCUGAAGCCGGAGGAAGGUGGGGAUGACGUCAGGUCUCAUGGCCCUUAUGGGUAGGGCUUCACACGUCAUGCAAUGGUCGGGACGUAGAAGGGUCGCCAACUAUACGAAGAGGAGCAAUCAGCUCGAUCGUAGUCCGGAUCUGGAAUGCCAACUCGACUGCGUGGGAGUCGAAUCCCUCUUCAAUAAUCGCGGAUCAGCAUGUCGCGGUGAAUACGUUCCCGGGUCUUGUACACACCGCCCGUCACACCAUGGGAGUGGGUUUUACCAGAAGUAGUUAGCCUAACCAUCAGGAGGGGCAGAUUUUCAGUAGGAUUCGCCAGGCUGGGUGAAGUCGUAACAAGGUAA